rnacentral:lncRNA from 1 species
ACUCUUGUAACUGCAAGUGGCGACACUCGUCUUCCACCCCUACCCUCUUCCUAAUUGCUUCGCCCUUCCUCUCGCCAGCCUCUGGGGGAACCUUCAGCAACCGCUCUCCACUCAGUUCUGGCUACUCUCCGGAGGAGACCCGGGAGCCUAGAUCCCAAGGGCAGAAAGGCCCCCUGCUACGUGGAGGCUAAUUGUUGCCUAAGGAAAGAACACCCCAGUUUUUGCCAGUUGGUUUGUGAUUCUGAAGACACAGUGGCAGCUACCUGCAGCCUGGGACCUGGGGCCAGGGCCAGGGCCACUUCCUAACGAGUGAACGAAGCCUACAUCUUAUCCUUGAUGGACCUUGAGCCAGGCUAGCUUCUAC